rnacentral:rRNA from 1 species
AUUGAACGCUGGCGGAAUGCUUUACACAUGCAAGUCGAACGGUAGAGGGGGCAACCCCUUGAGAGUGGCGAACGGGUGAGUAAUAUAUCGGAACGUGCCCAGUCGUGGGGAUAACGUAGCGAAAGUUACGCUAAUACCGCAUACGAUCUAAGGAUGAAAGCGGGGGACUCGCAAGAGCCUCGCGCGAUUGGAGCGGCCGAUAUCAGAUUAGGUAGUUGGUGGGGUAAAGGCUCACCAAGCCAACGAUCUGUAGCUGGUCUGAGAGGACGACCAGCCACACUGGAACUGAGACACGGUCCAGACUCCUACGGGAGGCAGCAGUGGGGAAUUUUGGACAAUGGACGCAAGUCUGAUCCAGCCAUUCCGCGUGCAGGAUGAAGGCCCUCGGGUUGUAAACUGCUUUUGUACGGAACGAAAAGGUUUCUAUUAAUACUAGGAGCUCAUGACGGUACCGUAAGAAUAAGCACCGGCUAACUACGUAGCCAGCAGCCGCGGUAAAGUG